rnacentral:rRNA from 1 species
GUGGUUUGUCGCGUUGUUCGUGAAAUCUCACGGCUUAACUGUGAGCGUGCGGGCGAUACGGGCAGACUUGAGUACUGCAGGGGAGACUGGAAUUCCUGGUGUAGCGGUGGAAUGCGCAGAUAUCAGGAGGAACACCGGUGGCGAAGGCGGGUCUCUGGGCAGUAGCUGACGCUGAGGAGCGAAAGCGUGGGGAGCGAACAGGAUUAGAUACCCUGGUAGUCCACGCCGUAAACGGUGGGUACUAGGUGUGGGUUUCCUUCCUUGGGAUCCGUGCCGUAGCUAACGCAUUAAGUACCCCGCCUGGGGAGUACGGCCGCAAGGCUAAAACUCAAAGAAAUUGACGGGGGCCCGCACAAGCGGCGGAGCAUGUGGAUUAAUUCGAUGCAACGCGAAGAACCUUACCUGGGUUUGACAUGCACAGGACGCCGGCAGAGAUGUCGGUUCCCUUGUGGCCUGUGUGCAGGUGGUGCAUGGCUGUCGUCAGCUCGUGUCGUGAGAUGUUGGGUUAAGUCCCGCAACGAGCGCAACCCUUGUCUCAUGUUGCCAGCGGGUAAUGCCGGGGACUCGUGAGAGACUGCCGGGGUCAACUCGGAGGAAGGUGGGGAUGACGUCAAGUCAUCAUGCCCCUUAUGUCCAGGGCUUCACACAUGCUACAAUGGCCGGUACAAAGGGCUGCGAUGCCGCGAGGUUAAGCGAAUCCUUUUAAAGCCGGUCUCAGUUCGGACCGGGGUCUGCAACUCGACCCCGUGAAGUCGGAGUCGCUAGUAAUCGCAGAUC